AGAAGAGUGUUUGCAGGUAAACCAUUAAUGCUUUGCAUACAUAAAAUUCUAGUUUAAAGAAAAUUUCAGAAAUUUGUUUUGUAACAGAUAAAUGUAUCAGACAUGUUUCUCUAGGCAAAGAAAGAUAUAUUAGGAUUGAGACCAACCAUGUAAAAUUUUCUGAGAUAUAUAUUUUACAUCACUACUUUAUAUUACUAAAGCAAUAUUAUCUGUACUUACAAGUUUCCUAAUACAUUCUACAGUAGGAAAAAAUUCUUGUAGGCUCCUAGAGCAUAAGAAACAAGCUUAAGAGUUGAAUAAAAGAAUUGGGUGGAUUUAUCCUUACUAGUCAAGAUUGAAAGAAAUGUAAUGCAUAGUUAGGGAGGAUUCAACCAAGUUCCAUUUUUAUUCUAUUACAUAUCAGAGGUGUUUUUUUUAUUUUAAUAUAUAUUGAAACUUACAGACUAGUUCUAUCGGGAUUUUCCACCUUAUGUUUAUUUUAGCCUCUAUGAUUUCUUCAUAAUAUUAAGAAAAAUUUAAAUUAAAGAAAAACCCAACAAACUAUAACAAGAGCAACAAAAUCAAAGGCAAGAGAGGCAAGAUGGGAGACAAGAAACUAGCUCAAUACCAUUUUAUACCACCAUUGACAAAGACAAAAGUGGUCCUUGUAGCCCCUUCCUCCCUCCCUUCCCUCCUUCUUUCUUCCUCUCCUCCUUCCUUUCUUCCUCCUUCCACAAAGUUAAACACAUUGUAAAUGUUGAAUUAGAGAAAUACUAUUGAAAUAUAUAAUGCAACAGAGUAUUAGGAGGCAAAUAGAAUAAUAAGAUGUGGUAAGAACAAGCAAGCAAGCAGAAUCAGACAGCAAGGAGUCCCACCAGAAGAGUAAAACCACAUCCACUACAUGUAGAGACGGUUAAAAGUAAAAGAAAAAUUUGCAAGGAACAACAUCUUCCUAGGAGUUUGUUUUGGAAUAAGACCAUAUUUACUGUGACAUGGAGAUUCAAACAAAGAAUCUAAGAUAAUAGGACAGAAUCCAUGAUUGAAAAAGUUUUUUUGUUCUUUCUAGAGCACUGAUUAAUUUCAUGGAUGACAAAAUUUUCCAUUUCAAAAUAUAUUCAAUUCUCCAUGAAAUUUACUUGUCUAUAAAAUGUCCACUACUGUUCAAAUGAGCAAAGGGAGAUCCACAAAGUUGGUUACAUAUACAAUAAUUAAAACAAAGGUAGUAUUAGUUUGCUUAAAAAUGGAUGAUUUCAUUUCCGAGAAUGUGAGUAUAUCUGCAGUUGAAGAUGAGGCAAUAUGUAUUUCUGACAAUUCUAAAGGCACUUUAAUAAGAGUUGUUUCACUUCAUUAACAUGAGCUUUUUUAUUUAAAGGUAAAAUUGAAUAAAUGAACUAUUAAUACCUGUGUUUUCAUAUACCCUAUAAUAUGAUUAACCAUACAGUGGAAAUUAUGCCUAAUUUUACCAAACUCUUAUUCUAAUAUUUCAAUUUUUAUCAUAUAAUGAGCAUAUCAUAGAUUGUGAAAAUUUUAAAUUGUUGGUAUUGUACAACUGAAUUAUGGUGGUUUUCCAACUAUUGUAGGUACUAGGGAGAAAACACAAAUACUACACUAAUGAUCUAUAGCAAGAAUUUGGCUUUCAGGAAAUAUGUUGUGUUUGAUUACAUGUCGCUUUAUUUUAUUUUUAUAAGGUAAACUUUUAAUUGAACUAAAGUAUGCAUUAAGAAGUGCAUAAAUCUUAUAGGUGUACAGGCUAAUGAAAUUUGACAAAACAUAUGUACCUGUGCUACUACUAUUAGACAAAAAAUUAGAGUAGCCCCGAAUCCCCACAAAAAACACUUCUGAAGAUUUUUUCUAAACACUACCAAAACUCCCAAUAAAAAGAACUCUUCUGAUUACUUUUGCCAUUUUUAAUUUAUAUAAAUGGAGUUACACAAUAUAGCCUUGUAUGGAUGUAGCAGUUUUUAUACAGUAAAACUAUAAGCCCACUUUGAUUUUAUAGAAUUAACAUAGAUCGGGGAGUUCCCGUCAUGGCUCAGUGGUAAUGAACCAGACUAGUAUCCAUGAGGACGCAGGUUCUAUUUCUGGCCUCGCUCAGGGAGUUAAGGAUCCAGCAUUGCUGUGGCUUUGUCCCCUAGAGAGCAGGUACGGCUCUGAUUUGACCCUAGACCCUAGACUGGGUACUUCCAUAUGCCCUUAAAGAGAGAGAGAGAGAGAGAGAGAGAGAGAGAGAGGGAGAGAGAGAGAGAAAUUCCCGUCGUGGCUCAGUGGUUAACAAAUCUGACUAGGAACCAUGAGGUUGCAGGGUUGAUCCCUGGCCUUGCUCAGUGGGUUAAGGAUCCAGCGUUUUCAUGAGCUGUGGUGUAGGUUGCAGACAUGGCUCUAAUACCACAUUGCUGUGGCUGUGGUAUAGGCCAGCAGCUGUAGCUCCGAGUAGACCCCUAGCCUGGAAACCUCCAUAUGCCAUGUGUGCAGCCCUAAAAACAAAAAAAAGGAAAGAAAAAGACAAAAACUCCCCCACCAAAAAAAAAAAAAAAAAAAAAA
rnacentral:lncRNA from 1 species